UACGUGAGGGGCGAACGUUGUUCGGUGUCACUGGGCUUAAAGGGUGCGUAGGUGGUUGCGUAAGUAACGUGUGAAAUCCCUCGGCUUACCCGGGGAAUUGCGCGUUAUACUGCGUGACUUGAGGAUUUCAGGGGAAUGGGGAACUCCAGGUGUAGCGGUGAAAUGCGUAGAUAUCUGGAGGAACACCGGUGGCGAAGGCGGCAUCCUGGACCGAGAUUGACGCUGAGGCGCGAAAGCUAGGGGAGCAAACGGG
rnacentral:rRNA from 1 species